rnacentral:rRNA from 1 species
CUGGUGGCGAGUGGCGAACGGGUGAGUAAUACAUCGGAACGUGUCCUGUAGUGGGGGAUAGCCCGGCGAAAGCCGGAUUAAUACCGCAUACGCUCUACGGAGGAAAGGGGGGGAUCUUAGGACCUCCCGCUACAGGGGCGGCCGAUGGCAGAUUAGCUAGUUGGUGGGGUAAAGGCCUACCAAGGCGACGAUCUGUAGCUGGUCUGAGAGGACGACCAGCCACACUGGGACUGAGACACGGCCCAGACUCCUACGGGAGGCAGCAGUGGGGAAUUUUGGACAAUGGGCGAAAGCCUGAUCCAGCAAUGCCGCGUGUGUGAAGAAGGCCUUCGGGUUGUAAAGCACUUUUGUCCGGAAAGAAAACCUCCGCCCUAAUAUGGUGGGGGGAUGACGGUACCGGAAGAAUAAGCACCGGCUAACUACGUGCCAGCAGCCGCGGUAAUACGUAGGGUGCAAGCGUUAAUCGGAAUUACUGGGCGUAAAGCGUGCGCAGGCGGUCCGCUAAGACAGAUGUGAAAUCCCCGGGCUUAACCUGGGAACUGCAUUUGUGACUGGCGGGCUAGAGUAUGGCAGAGGGGGGGUAGAAUUCCACG